CCUACGGGUGGCAGCAGUGAGGAAUAUUGGUCAAUGGGCGGAAGCCUGAACCAGCCAAGUAGCGUGCAGGAUGACGGCCCUACGGGUUGUAAACUGCUUUUAUACGGGAAUAACGCGCCUUACGUGUAGGGCUUUGCAUGUACCGUAUGAAUAAGGCCCGGCUAAUUCCGUGCCAACAGCCGCGGUAAGACGGAAGGUUCGGGCGUUUACCGGAUGUAUUUGGGUUAAAGGGAGCGUCGGCCGCAGGUUAAACGUGCCGUGAAAUGUUCGGGCUCAACCCGGGCCGUGCAGCGGGAACUGGCGGGCUUGAGUCCGCGGAAAGCAGGCGGAAUUCGUGGUGUAGCGGUGAAAUGCUUAGAUAUGACGAAGAACCCCGAUUGCGAAGGCAGCUUGCUGCAGCGGAACUGACGCUGAUGCUCGAAAGCGCGGGUAUCGAACAGGAUUAGAUACCCCAGUAGUC
rnacentral:rRNA from 1 species